rnacentral:tRNA from 1 species
UCUAAUAUGGCAGAUAAGUGCAAUGGAUUUAAGCUCCAUACAUAGAGGGAAGCCCUCUUUUUAGAA